AUAUUGGUGCGGUUCAAUUAG
rnacentral:miRNA from 1 species